AGAUUGAACGCUGGCGGCAUGCCUUACACAUGCAAGUCGAACGGUAACGCGGGGCAACCUGGCGACGAGUGGCGAACGGGUGAGUAAUACAUCGGAACGUGCCCAGUAGUGGGGGAUAGCCCGGCGAAAGCCGGAUUAAUACCGCAUACGACCUACGGGUGAAAGCAGGGGAUCGCAAGACCUUGCGCUAUUUGAGCGGCCGAUGUCAGAUUAGGUAGUUGGUGGGGUAAAAGCCUACCAAGCCUACGAUCUGUAGCUGGUCUGAGAGGACGACCAGCCACACUGGGACUGAGACACGGCCCAGACUCCUACGGGAGGCAGCAGUGGGGAAUUUGGACAAUGGGCGCAAGCCUGAUCCAGCCAUGCCGCGUGCGGGAAGAAGGCCUUCGGGUUGUAACCGCUUUGUCUAGGAAGAAACGCUCUGGCUAAUACCCUGGGUAAUGACGGUACCUGAAGAAUAAGCACCGGCUAACUACGUGCCAGCAGCCGC
rnacentral:rRNA from 1 species